GUGGGGAAUUUUGGACAAUGGGCGCAAGCCUGAUCCAGCAAUGCCGCGUGCAGGAUGAAGGCCUUCGGGUUGUAAACUGCUUUUGUACGGAACGAAAAGCCCUGGGUUAAUACCCUGGGGUCAUGACGGUACCGUAAGAAUAAGCACCGGCUAACUACGUGCCAGCAGCCGCGGUAAUACGUAGGGUGCGAGCGUUAAUCGGAAUUACUGGGCGUAAAGCGUGCGCAGGCGGUUUUGUAAGACAGAGGUGAAAUCCCCGGGCUCAACCUGGGAACUGCCUUUGUGACUGCAAGGCUAGAGUACGGCAGAGGGGGAUGGAAUUCCGCGUGUAGCAGUGAAAUGCGUAGAUAUGCGGAGGAACACCGAUGGCGAAGGCAAUCCCCUGGGCCUGUACUGACGCUCAUGCACGAAAGCGUGGGGAGCAAACAGGAUUAGAAACCCGUGUAGUCC
rnacentral:rRNA from 1 species